AACUAACGCUGGCGGCGUGCCUAACACAUGCAAGUCGUACGAGAAAGUUGGCUUCGGCUGAUGAGUAAAGUGGCGCGCGGGUGAGUAACGCGUGGAUAAUCUGCCUUUUAGUUGGGAAUAACGUACCGAAAGGUGCGCUAAUACCGGAUAAUACUGCAUAACUACUGUUGUGUAGUCAAAGAAGGCCUCUGUUUACAAGCUUUUGCUGAAAGAUGAGUCCGCGUACCAUUAGCUAGUUGGUAGGGUAAUGGCCUACCAAGGCUACGAUGGUUAGCUGGUCUGAGAGGAUGAUCAGCCACACUGGAACUGAGACACGGUCCAGACUCCUACGGGAGGCAGCAGUGAGGAAUAUUGCGCAAUGGGGGCAACCCUGACGCAGCAACGCCGCGUGAGUGAGGAAGGUUUUCGGACCGUAAAGCUCUGUCGAGCGGGAAGAAAUGUAUCGUGGCUAAUAUCCAUGAUAUUUGACGGUACCGCUAAAGGAAGCACCGG
rnacentral:rRNA from 1 species